UCCCUGGAGUCUCAAAUGGUAAAGAAUCUGCCUGCAGUGUAGGAGAUCCAGGUUUAAUCCCUGGGUGGGGAA
rnacentral:tRNA from 1 species